rnacentral:rRNA from 1 species
UGGGGAAUAUUGGGCAAUGGGCGAAAGCCUGACCCAGCAACGCCGCGUGAAGGAAGAAGGUCUUCGGAUUGUAAACUUCUUUUAUCAGGGACGAAGUAAGUGACGGUACCUGAUGAAUAAGCCACGGCUAACUACGUGCCAGCAGCCGCGGUAAUACGUAGGUGGCAAGCGUUAUCCGGAUUUACUGGGUGUAAAGGGCGCGUAGGCGGGGAUACAAGUCAGAUGUGAAAUCUAUGGGCUUAACCCAUAAACUGCAUUUGAAACUGUAUCUCUUGAGUGUCGGAGAGGUAGACGGAAUUCCUAGUGUAGCGGUGAAAUGCGUAGAUAUUAGGAGGAACACCAGUGGCGAAGGCGGUCUACUGGACGAUAACUGACGCUGAGGCGCGAAAGCGUGGGGAGCAAACAGGA